UUACUCUUGUUUCCCUUCAAGACGUAUAAAUCUUUCGCCUUUUACUAAAGAUUUCCGUGGAGGGGAACACUAAAUGAGUCUAUAACCAAUUUUUUGUAGUGCUCGGCUUUUGCUGAGCC